UACGGAGGGGGGCUAGCGUUGUUCGGAAUUACUGGGCGUAAAGCGCACGUAGGCGGCUUGUUAGAUAGAGGUGAAAGCCCGGGGCUCAACUCCGGAAUUGCCUUUAAGACUGCAUCGCUCGAAUUGUGGAGAGGUAAGUGGAAUUCCGAGUGUAGAGGUGAAAUUCGUAGAUAUUCGGAAGAACACCAGUGGCGAAGGCGACUUACUGGACACAUAUUGACGCUGAGGUGCGAAAGCGUGGGGAGCAAACAGG
rnacentral:rRNA from 1 species